rnacentral:rRNA from 1 species
UGGGGAAUAUUGGGCAAUGGGCGCAAGCCUGACCCAGCAACGCCGCGUGAAGGAAGAAGGCUUUCGGGUUGUAAACUUCUUUUGUCGGGGAAGAUGAAUGAGACGGUACCCGACGAAUAAGCCACGGCUAACUACGUGCCAGCAGCCGCGGUAAUACGUAGGUGGCAAGCGUUGUCCGGAUUUACUGGGUGUAAAGGGCGUGUAGGCGGGAUGAUAAGUCAGAUGUGAAAGCCAUGGGCUCAACCCAUGGUCUGCAUUAGAAACUGUUGUUCUUGAGUACCGGAGAGGUUGACGGAAUUCCUGGUGUAGCGGUGAAAUGCGUAGAUAUCAGGAGGAACACCGGUGGCGAAGGCGGUCAACUGGACGGCAACUGACGCUGAGGCGCGAAAGCGUGGGGAGCAAACAGG